rnacentral:rRNA from 1 species
UACAGAGGUCUCAAGCGUUGUUCGGAUUCAUUGGGCGUAAAGGGCGCGUAGGCGGCGGGGUAAGUCUGGUGUGAAAUCUCGGAGCUCAACUCCGAAAUUGCACUGGAUACUGCUCUGCUUGAGGGUUGGAGAGGAGAUCGGAAUUCACGGUGUAGCAGUGAAAUGCGUAGAUAUCGUGAGGAAGACCAGUGGCGAAGGCGGAUCUCUGGACAAAACCUGACGCUGAGGCGCGAAGGCUAGGGGAGCAAACAGG